ensembl:snoRNA
UGGAGAUGGCCAUGAUGGUUUAAGCCAGAACGUUGGAACCUGGCUGAAGUUUUGCUGAUGAAUCUUUUAUGGCUCUGAGGCUUCUCUGGUG